rnacentral:rRNA from 1 species
UGCACAAGGUACAGACAAGUCUGGUGGGAUCCAUGCCUGGUUCAUUUUAAUAAACGUGAGCUUGUCGUUAGCCGUGGACAGGUGUGAUAACCUCGUGCCGAUCGCACAUCCCCGUGACGGCGACAACGCAUUUGGAUCUCUGCCCUAUCAACUUUCAAUCCUAUUUUCCGUGCCUACCAUGGUGACCACGGGUAAUGGGGAAUCAGGGUUCAAUUCCAGAGAGGGAGCCUGAGAAAAGGCUACCACAUGCAAGGAAGGCAGCA